AUAACUCGGCGUUUUGGCCAAGAUUAAGUGUAGUAUGUGUUCUUAUCAGUUUAAUUAACUACAAAUUUUAAAGUUAGAAAUACUUUUUAUUUGUUUGUUGUCUUUAGAGACAGGGUCUCACUAUGUAGCUCCAGCUGACCUGGAACCCGCUAUGUAGACCGUCCUAGAUUGGCUUGGAUCUUACAGCGAUCUAC